GUCGAGGUAGUAAAGAACUAAUACGUCGGACUUAAAAUCCGGAGGCGGGGUUAUGGCCCCCUUCGAUA
rnacentral:tRNA from 1 species